rnacentral:ribozyme from 1 species
AAUAAAAAGGAAAUUCAAAAACGUAACCGCGCGGCAAAAUCACUCUUCUUCGUUCUCAUCAUUUUCUCCAUCACUUCUUCUUCUUCUUCUUCUUAAAGCAUCAUCACACUUUUGGCAGCAGUUUCGGCGGUUGCAGCAGUUCAGCGCUUUAAAAGAAUAUCACAAAAAACGGUCUCUCUUCUCCUGUUACUGUUGUUGUUCUUUUACAACUCUCUCUACUGAAUAGUAAUACUCUACUAGAAGAAUAAUUUUACU